rnacentral:rRNA from 1 species
CCGGCACGGGUGAGUAACACGUAUCCAACCUGCCGUCUACUCUUGGACAGCCUUCUGAAAGGAAGAUUAAUACAAGAUGGCAUCAUGAGUCCGCAUGUUCACAUGAUUAAAGGUAUUCCGGUAGACGAUGGGGAUGCGUUCCGUUAGAUAGUAGGCGGGGUAACGGCCCACCUAGUCAACGAUGGAUAGGGGUUCUGAGAGGAAGGUCCCCCACAUUGGAACUGAGACACGGUCCAA